AAGUCGUAACAAGGUUUCCGUAGGUGAACCUGCGGAAGGAUCAUUAACACUUUCAUUUUAUUGAAAAUUCAUUUUUCAAUAAUUUACUUACCCACAUUUUUGGAUGAAUUAUCUCUUCUUUAUUCUUUUUUAAAUUUUAAACCCAAAUACCAUAUUAUUUCUAACAUUUAUACACAAAAAGUUUAAGAAAAACAUAAAAAACAACUCUUAACAACGGAUAUCUAGGCUCUC
rnacentral:misc_RNA from 1 species